AAAAUAUUUUGGACGGCCAGUUCUGCCAAAGCACCGGUAUUGUCAAGAAGCAAGAGUGUAGUGUGUAAUAGACUUACGAAUUUUUUAUUUCAACGAAUUAAAACCACCGGUCCAAACUAGUGAACACCAGCUGACAAAAGUCAUGAAUAACUUUAUUUGAACUUUUACUCCAGUUUGCGAAUUCCUGAUUGCCCAUAAAAUCCUGGAUAACCACAGAUCAUCAUGGAGAGUUCUUCGUUGGAUACAAAAUCAGUGAGACAGAUAGAGUGAAAAGCCGUAGCUUCAGCACUUAUCCCUCGACAACUGCUGCCUGUUCGACAUCUGGAGAAGCGAACUUUUAACAGAAAUCAUAGAGCUCCUUGUGUAGUGUCACAUAGUCUUAUUCCUCAAAGCAGGAACAAACGGUCACAGGCCAACCUAUCUACAUGUGGUGCUGUGGGAAUCGUCAGUGCGAAAAGAAGUAUCAGACCGGCAGGAUUCAUUCUUUGAAAAGUCGAGUUGACUCUGGAAACCAUAAUGAUUAUAUAAAUAUUCUGUUUUGCCUAGAAAACCCCACAUUGUGUUAUUAGGGAAUUUGUGAUGCCACUUGUCACAAUUCUAUGGUACAGCAUUGUAAGGUGGCUACCCUAAGGUCUAGGAAAAUGUGUGAAUGUCUUGCUGUUUACUUAAUAAUGGAUUCAGACUUGACAAGUUCAGUGCUAAUUUAAAUGUUAAUCCCAAAUAUUGCCAAUAAUUUGAUUUUUUUAGUUUCCAAACCAUAAAUUGCAAAAGUCGUCAACCCCACUCCCCCAAUCUUCCACGGGCCAUUAUGGACUAGCAAAAACUUUUUUUUUUUCCAAGUUUUAUAUUGUCUGCCAAGUUAAAAAUUUUUUGUAAUGAGCCAUUUUUCCUAUUUCUGCCAUUUUUGUUAACGUAGCCUUCAGCAUAUAAAUUCGGGUAUGUCAUUUAAAAUGAUCAAAUCGAGACUUUUGAAUCCUCGGAUAACGUUUUACUAGUUAGAUUUAAUCUUCAUAAAAGAAAAUGUGUAAAAUAUAUAGUCAGUCAUACGACGAAACCUAAUUCCUUUUAGAAACUGAUAUUUAGAUUUUUUUAAUGAAAUUGAGCAAUAUCACUUUUACUUUGGAUAUGUAUUCAGAAAAUUGAGAGAUCACUGUGAAAUCAUUUUCAGUUUUAAAGCCUUGACAGUUACAAAGGUUAGAAUUGGUAAUUCAAUAUAAAUUCCUGUGUCUUAGCAUUAAUUUCGACAAAUAUUUCAACUGAAAUCAAACUAUUCAGAAAUCUUAAUUGGAUUCUCGAAUUGAGCUUAAUGAUUUAAAACUAGAGAGUGACUAAGGACUGAAAGGGUAUUUACGCUUUUGUAAUGUAAAAAUCAUGACUGUAGCCAGAGAUAAAUCAUGCCAAUGUAAAUGAAACAUCUUUAAUUAAUUUGCUCUCUAAAUCUGUCUAGACUGGUUAGUAAAAGAUUUAACUUGGAA